rnacentral:tRNA from 1 species
GGUAGCUCGUCAGGCUCAUAACCUGAAGGCCGCAGGUUCAAAUCCUGCCC